ACUCUCUAUAUCUAGAUCAAAGGUCAUGAUCAUAAAAAUAUUUAUAGUUAUGUUAAAUCGGGAUCACGUACAUUCCUGACACAAACGUUACCAUACAUGGUACGGCCAUGUGUAUUCCAGACACCCACACACGUUGCACACAUGUUCUUUCUUUUCACAUAGAAUAUGAAACUCUCUGAGGUAAGUCAUAAAAAUAUAUAUAGUUAUGUUAAAUCUGGAUCACAUACAUUCCUGACACAAACGUUACCAUACCUGGUACGGCCAUAUGUUUUCCACCCACACAAGUUGCACACACAUGUUCUUUCUAACACUCUGAGGUAGGUCAUAAAAAUAUAUAUAGUUAUGUUAAAUCUGGAUCACAUACAUUCCUGACACAAACGUUACCAUACCUGGUACGGCCAUAUGUUUUCCACCCACACAAGUUGCACACACAUGUUCUUUCUAACACUCUGAGGUAGGUCAUAAAAAUAUAUAUAGUUAUGUUAAAUCUGGAUCACAUCCAUUCCUGACACAAAUGUUACCAUACAUGGUAUGGCCAUGUGUAUUACACAUCCAAACAAAAAUAUGACACACACACACACACACACACACACACGUGCACGUACAGACAAACGCAUGCAUAUGAACCUGUUUAUAAAAGUCGAGCAUCCCUCUAGGUUUUAUAAUACUCUGUACUUAGAACAACGUGUGCGAGCUUACAACAUGGCUGAUGUUUGUCCUAACGUGCCGAAAAAAGCUCACCCUUUUUUGGGAAGAAUAGAAAAAAUGUUAGAACAUGAAAAGAUUCAAUAUUGGGUAAUGUCAAACGGAUGUACAGCCGGGUUUUUUUUUCGAUGCAGAAAAAGGAACCGUUUUGCUUUUCAAGUUCUCGGUCCCGGGACACACGAUCUUUCCUUUCACGUAGAAUAUGAAGCACUCUGAGUCAGGCCUAGGUCAAAGGUCAACACCGUAAAACCCCGUUCUGAUGCAUUCCCACACACACACACACCCCACACACACUAGUAUGCAUACGAACCUGUUUAUAAAAGUCGAGCACUUCGAAAGUUUUAACAUCGGCAAAGGUUCGACCGAAUUUCCAGAGUCUAUCCUUCACUACUUCCAGACACCAUGGAUUUCUCAGCAGGUAAAAAUAUGUAUUUUAAUCAAUUAAUAGUUAAAUAUAAAUUGAAAUACAAUGUUUAUGUAAUUAUCCAAUUGGCAAUGAUAUUGAUAUAAACUUAGAACUAAUCUUUCUGAGUACAAAAAUCAUCAUCCUUAUCUGGUCAUUAUGUAAUCUGGUACGAUACUUUAUCUAAGAUUAAAAUAUUCAUUACAUUUAUAUUACAGUGCAAGACCGAGUUAAGCUCAUCUGAUUCUAGUGUAUAGACAGCUUGGUGAUUUAUUUCUGAUGAUGAGAUUCCCGAAACAACCGCUCAUGACCUUUUGAAUCUGAGCUCCACACGCAAGUCAUAACAUAAAAUUAUAAAUGUUUCAUGCUGUAAAGUCUUUCAUACGUGAAUAUAACAUUGUUUGUAUCAUAUUCAGAAGUUGAGGGAAACGUGACUAACAGUGCUUACGACGGAGAUAUUUCAGAUACGAGUGAUGCAAUAGAAGACCAAGAGGAAAUCAUCUCGGAAACCGACAUUCAACAAGACAUCGAACUACAACAGAUAUGUGCAGUGUGGCGUGAAUUCUUCGAAGCAAAGACUGAUUUAUUGGAAAACUUUGGACAGAUUGAUUAUACACUUGAAUCUGGUCGAGGUACAGAUUUUAUCCCUUUACUGUACAGCACGCUUGAAAAUGUGAAUAGAUGUCUCUCAGUGAACAUAAAGUUGAUUAGAAAAUUGUAUGAUAGAUAUGGCGCAGAAACGACUGAAAUGCAGUUC